GAUGAACGCUGGCGGCGUGCCUAAUACAUGCGAGUCGAGCGAACAGACGAGGAGCUUGCUCCUCUGACGUUAGCGGCGGACGGGUGAGUAACACGUGGAUAACCUACCUAUAAGACUGGGAUAACUUCGGGAAACCGGAGCUAUUACCGGAUAAUAUAUUGAACCGCAUGGUUCAAUAGUGAAAGACGGUUUUGCUGUCACUUAUAGAUGGAUCCGCGCCGCAUUAGCUAGUUGGUAAGGUAACGGCUUACCAAGGCGACGAUGCGUAGCCGACCUGAGAGGGUGAUCGGCCACACUGGAACUGAGACACGGUCCAGACUCCUACGGGAGGCAGCAGUAGGGAAUCUUCCGCAAUGGGCGAAAGCCUGACGGAGCAACGCCGCGUGAGUGAUGAAGGUCUUCGGAUCGUAAAACUCUGUUAUUAGGGAAGAACAAAUGUGUAAGUAACUAUGCACGUCUUGACGGUACCUAAUCAGAAAGCCACGGCUAACUACGUG
rnacentral:rRNA from 1 species